rnacentral:rRNA from 1 species
AAUCAACGCUGGCGGCGUGCCUCAGACAUGCAAGUCGAACGCGAAAGGUUCCUUCGGGAGCCGAGUAGAGUGGCGCUCGGGUGAGUAACACGUAGGUAAUUUGCCUUUGGGUGGGGAAUAACAAUCGGAAACGGUUGCUAAUACCGCAUAAUGCAGCGGCUCGACAUCGAGACAGUUGUUAAAGCGGGGGAGUCCUUCGGGACCUCGCGCCUAAAGAGAAGCCUGCGGCGGAUUAGCUAGUUGGUGAGGUAAUGGCUCACCAAGGCGACGAUCCGUAACCGGCCUGAGAGGGCGGACGGUCACACUGACACUUAAAUACGGGUCAGACUCCUACGGGAGGCAGCAGUCGGGAAUUUUGGGCAAUGGGCGAAAGCCUGACCCAGCAACGCCGCGUGAAGGAUGAAAUCCCUCGGGAUGUAAACUUCGCAAGAACGGGAAGAAUAAGCGAGAGUAAAUACCUCUCGUGAUGACGGUACCGUUUGUAAGCU